rnacentral:rRNA from 1 species
GACGUAGGUGACGAACGUUAUCCGGAAUUAUUGGGCGUAAAGGGUGCGUAGAUGGCCUGAUAAGUUAGCAGUGGGAAAUCGAGGCUCAACCUCGUGGAAGCUGGUAAUACUGUCAGGCUCGAGUGCAGGAGAGGUUAACGGAACUCCAUGUGGAGCGGUAAAAUGUGUAGAUAUAUGGAAGAACACCAAUAACGGCGAAGGCAGUUAACUAUUCUGUUACUGACAUUGAGGCACGAAAGCGUGGGGAGCAAAACGG